rnacentral:rRNA from 1 species
CCUACGGGGGGCAGCAGUGGGGAAUAUUGGGCAAUGGAGGAAACUCUGACCCAGCAACGCCGCGUGAAUGAUGAAGGUCUUCGGAUUGUAAAGUUCUUUUCUAAGGGAAGAAGAAAGUGACGCUACCUUAGGAAUAACCCUCGGCCAACGACGGGCCAGCAGCCGUGGUAAGACGUAGGCGGCAAGCGUUAUCCGGAAUGACUGGGCGUAAUGGGUGCGUAGGUGGUGUGACAAGUUGGUAGCGAAACUCCGGGGCUCAACCCCGGCACUACUACCAAAACUGCCGGGCUUGAGUGCAGGAGAGGCAAGUGGAAUUCCUAGUGUAGCGGUGAAAUGCGUAGAUAUUAGGAGGAACACCAGUGGCGAAGGCGAUUUACUGGACUGUAACUGACGCUGAGGCACGAAAGCGUGGGGAGCAAACAGGAUUAGAUACCCCAGUAGUC